AUGCCUCAAUUCAGCUUUUCACAACCAUCUAAAAAAAGAUACACAGAUUCAAGGAAUAGAAAUUACAGAACGAGCAUUAAGCCACGAGUUUCCAGAGAUAUUACCUAUCGGAAACCUUCGGACAAGGCUUUAUCGUCGGUGCAGGGUUGGCUUUGGACUGGUAUGCAUGUAUGUACAGGGGCAGCAAGACUGUUUUGGUUGGUAACUAGUUUGGCUGAAUUUUUGCAGGUUUUGGAGCAUGUGGACAGCAAUGCUUUUGUUUAUUUUGUGCAAGUUUUGGAGAAGGAAAAGUUAUCAAAUUGCCAAAGUGGAUUGGUCAUUCAAAAAGGAAAUCAAAGCUUGGUAGUUUAG